CUCGCUGGACCCCCUUGGCUCUCCAGGCCUGACCGUGGCCACGUCCCUCACCAUCUACCCUCCUGGCCGGCCAUCUCCCAAACACAGGGUUAAUCAGGCCGCUCCUCUGCUGGCAGCCACGUAAAGUGUUAAUGUCCUAUCUUAUCUGUGCCCAUGGCCUCUAAGCCUUUCCCCAUUUGAAUAUUGAAACGUAAGAUUACCAAGAUCACCCUGGACACCAAGAAACCUCGCCCACCUCCCAGCCCGUCCAGAUCAGCAGUGAGAAUAUAAGUCUUGAAGCCUGAGGGGGCCUUAGGGACCAAGGCCAGGGCUCGCCAGCAUUUAAAGGUCAGGCUGGAAAAGGACGAAAGUAAAAGUGGCCGUGGAGGAGUGGUAAAGAGACCGCGAUGGGACAGAAACAGAGAAGAGUGUGGUGAGAACCAGAGUGGCCAGAAGCGGCAGUUCUAAAAAGAGGUCAAGUACGUGAGGACAGGGAACUGAUGCAGCGGGACGGGGGGCGGCGUGGGGGCAGUGAGGACAGACGUCCAGUGGAGACCGUCUGUGAAGGGGACAGAGAAAUGAAGGGGAGGUAGAGGACGGGGGUCGGGGGACGUUAGACGUAAAGGAGGUGCUCCGCACCACAGCACGCUCCGUGCUGUUAGGAGUAACCCUCAGGUGACAACCCUCCAGUGAGGGGUCCAGAGGGUGUGGGACCGAGGGGUCCUCAGACUGGACGCAUCGCCCACCGCAACAGGGGGACUGACAGGCUGAAGUGGACCGCCAGGGAGUGCCGGUCGACAGAGGCUGCAGCUGCGUCCUGGAACCUUCUUCAGGCCGCGUGUGCAGGAGGCAGAGUUUUGCAAAGGGAGCGGCUAAAGCAGAGUGUGGGGUGUCUGCUCCAGAGACCCUCUGUUUCUCCACCCAGCACGGCCGGUUCCUUCAGGCGCGGCCAAGGACAACACUGGCCCACGAGCCUGGACCACAUGGAGCUCUCGCUGCAGAGAGAGUUAGGAAGCAAACAGAGCUCACUCGGCCCAGCCCCGCUCAGCUGGCUCCUCUGAAGCCUCACCCAGGGCGGCAACGCGCGGGCAGGCAGUGGGCCUGGGCCGAGCCUGGGCACCUCCCGCCCACAGACAGCAGAGGGUCUGAGCAGGGAAAGCACGGCCGGGCCCCGAUGCACACGUGGUGCAGGUGCAAUGACCUGAGAGGCCGUGAGCCAUGUGCAGGGAGGGGGCGGGGAGUGCCCCAGGGAUGACUUGGUCCGUUUUUAAAGGGCAAGAAGUCCUCUGGGACAGCACAGGGGCAGGGAAGAGGGCUGCGGAGGGAGGGGCGGCACCCCACGUCGCAGGAGCAGGUCAGGCAAGGGCCCAGGUGCAGCCGUGAGAUGCGCCGGCGUGAGUGAGCUUAGUGAUGCGUGUGGGUAGCCACGCAAGCGACUGGUCAUCGGUCUGCAAAGUCCGGUGUGGACGCUCCUCUGUGGACACUCAUCACAGUUUAUGACGUUAUUUUUUCAAUUGUCAGUCUUCUCACUAGAUUGUAAAAGUCACAUCUAUUUCAUCAACCUUAAGAAGAACUUGGGGACUUCCUGGUGGUCCAGUGGGUAAGACUUCACGCUCCUAGUGCAGGGGGCCCGGGUUCGGUCCCUGGCUGGGGUACGAGAUCCUUCAUGCCACAACUAAAGGAUCCUGCGUGCCCCAACUGAGGCCCGGCACAGCUGAAAGAAAUAUGAAUAAAUAAACAUUAA